rnacentral:rRNA from 1 species
GAUGAACGCUGGCGGCGUGCCUAAUACAUGCGAGUCGAGCGAACAGACGAGGAGCUUGCUCCUCUGACGUUAGCGGCGGACGGGUGAGUAACACGUGGAUAACCUACCUAUAAGACUGGGAUAACUUCGGGAAACCGGAGCUAAUACCGGAUAAUAUAUUGAACCGCAUGGUUCAAUAGUGAAAGACGGUUUUGCUGUCACUUAUAGAUGGAUCCGCGCCGCAUUAGCUAGUUGGUAAGGUAACGGCUUACCAAGGCAACGAUGCGUAGCCGACCUGAGAGGGUGAUCGGCCACACUGGAACUGAGACACGGUCCAGACUCCUACGGGAGGCAGCAGUAGGGAAUCUUCCGCAGUGGGCGAAAGCCUGACGGAGCAACGCCGCGUGAGUGAUGAAGGUCUUCGGAUCGUAAAACUCUGUUAUUAGGGAAGAACAAAUGUGUAAGUAACUAUGCACGUCUUGACGGUACCUAAUCAGAAAGCCACGGCUAACUACGUG